CUCGGGGGCAGUAUUGAGACAUUUUGAAAAAAAUAUGUGCCCAUUUUUAACUGCCUCCUACACCAACUCAGAAGCUAGGAUAUGCAUAUUAUUAACACAUUCGGAUAGAGAACACUCUGAAUUUUCUAAAACAGUUUGAAUGGUGUCUGUAAGUAUAACAAAACUCAUAUUGCAGGCAAAAACCUGUGAAAAAUAGAUUUAAAAAAAUGUGAAUUUUGUGACUGUACUAUUUAGUGUCAUUGUUUUAUAGAUACCAUAGUGAGAAAGGAUUCAUUUCGCAACACCUACGGCUUCCACUAGAUGUCAACGAUCUUUAUAAAGUUGUUUGAAGCGUCUAUGAUAAACAGAGAGCAAAUUAGAAUCCAAGGAAGUUGACAUGUCAUCACUUCAUUUUUUUGCGCCUGCGCAUAAAUCUGAGAAACGUGAGUUUUGUCUUCAUUGUUUAUCUCGACAUAGGAUAGGUUGUGUGAAAAUAUUACUGAUGUUUAACGUUAAAAAUGGACCAAAAGAUUAAUGCUAAACAACAUUUGACAUGUUUGAACGAACAUAAAUAGAUUAUUUACUAGGUUUUUUUAGCUUUUCGGCGUGAUUUUACAGUCCCCCACCACGUUUUGUGGGAGCAUAAUGAACGCUAAGUACUUGGUGUUAUUUGGACAUAAAUUAUGAACUUUGUCAAAAGAAACCACAUUUGUUCCGGACCUGGGAUGCCUUCCGGACCUGGGAUGCCUGUCUUCUGAUGGAGAUAAUCAAAGGACCUGAGCCCUAGGACCAUGCCUCAGGACUACCUGGUAUGACUCCUCCUUGCUGUCCCCAGUCCACCUGGCCGUGCUGCUGCUCCAGUUUCAACUGUUCUGCCUGCGGCUAUGGAACCCUGACCUGUUCACCGGACGUGCUUGUUGCACCCUCGACAACUACUAUGAUUAUUAUUAUUUGACCAUGCUGGUCAUUUAUGAACAUUUUAACAUUUUAACAUUUUGACCAUGUUCUGUUAUAAUAUCCACCCUGCACAGCCAGAAGAGGACUGGCCACCCCUCAUAGCCUGGUUCCUCUCUAGGUUUCUUCCUAGGUUUUUGGCCUUUCUAGGGAGUUUUUCCUAGGGAGUUUUUCCUAGCCACCGUGCUUCUUUCACAUGCUUUGCUUGCUGUUUGGGGUUUUAGGCUGGGUUUCUGUACAGCACUUUGAGAAUAUCAGCUGAUGUACGAAGGGCUAUAUAAAAAUAAAUUUGAAAUUUGAUUCAAUGCACCUUGGCAUAGAUUCUACAAGUGUCUGGAACUCUAUUGUCAGGAUGCAUUUGGUGUUUUGUUGAUGGUGGUGGAUAACGUUGUCUCAGGCGGUGCUCCAGAAUCUCCCAUCAGUGUUCAAUUGGGUUGAGAUUUAGUGACUGAGAGGGCCAUGGCAUAUGGUUUGCAUCGUUUUCAUGCUCAUAAAACCAUUCCGUGACCACUCAUGCCCUGUGAAUGGGGGCAUUGUCAUCUUUGGGGCAUCGCCAUGGUAACCAAAAUAAUGGCCUGCCCAGCAUUUUUAUAUCUGACCCUAAGCAUGAUGGGAUGUUAAUUGCUUAAUUAACUCAGGAACCACAGCUGUGUGGAAGCACCUGCUU
rnacentral:lncRNA from 1 species